CCUGCCUCCAAAGCCAGCACCGCUGCGGCUCGGACGCCCAGGGCCGCGGUGGCCCCCGGGACCUGCCCGCUCCACAUCGGGGGGCUCCAUGCCGGGGGGCUCCGCGCCCACCCCCGGCCCUGCUGCCCUCGGCGGGUCGGGCAGAGGAGCCCCGCUGGGCUUCCCUCGCCCCGGGGGAACGGGGAAUCGGGGUCCCCGGCGAUGCCCGAGGGGCGAGCAGCGGUGAGGCUGGGCCCCGAGGAGCAGCCCGGGGGGGCUGCGGGAGCAGGGGCGAUGCCCCUGCCGUACCCCGUCCCCUGUACGUGGUGCUGCCCGUGCACCGUCCCCGCUCGGACGCAUGGAGCGUUUUCAGGCUUCUCCGUGCCUGUCAUAAAGUGAGGGCACUCUGCUCGGAGUUACGCUACCGAACGUGGCAGUUAAAAACAGGUACAAAUAUUCAAAUAGUGCUAACGCCUCGAAGUGCUGGUGGGUGAGAAGGGCAAGUGAAAACAAACCCGGGCAAGCACCAAAGACGGCGCAGCCAUGGGGCUCUGCGGACUCGUGCAGACUUGUGUGUCACCUCCUGCUUCUCACCACGACCUUUCCUUGCCCCGGCUGCAGAGGAUGCCUCCCCAUCCUGCUGCAGUGGCCUCAGCUGCUCUCAUCCCCAGCCAUCUUGCCCACCCCUGUGCUACACGGCUCCCAGCCCCAGAGCAAAGAUGGGAAAACACGGCCAAGGUGCUUGGCCACGCGUGGGCAGCUCAGAGGUAGGUGCUGGGCCAGGGUGGUGGUUGGGCUGCCGUGCAAGGGUCCGGCUCGCUAGCUGAGGGGCUGCCCCUGGGCUGUAGCCCCUGCAGCUGGCCCACGUCAAUCUGUCCCACGCAGACCAGAGCCCUGAGACAUCUGCCAAAAUUUACAUCUCCUUCUCCUGAUGCCUCAGUUCUCUCUGAGAAACAGCGUGGUCCUUCCUCCAUUCAAGCCUGUGAGAUACUUGGAGGCUGCUGCCUAAACGGACACAGAACUGCCUAAAAUUGGGAAGCGUGGCCUUCCUCCUUCUCACAGACAGGCACACGGUCUUCCCGCGCAGGACUGGGACCCGAAGGCGCAGAGGAGUGCGAUGCAGCGCGUGCUGCACGCUGCUGUCCCUGCCUCUCUGCUAAUUUAGCGACAGACUUGGCAGUGGGUGAGUUCAGCAACUUUAGUGGGCAAAUGUUCCUGCUUUUAAGCUCCAACUGUCAUUCAUUCAUGGCAGGAAUCUCACUUGCCAACUCAGUACAGAACAUUAGGACCAAAUACAAAUUCCAAAAUUAUGCCAGUUCUCCCGAGCUGUGCCGCGUUACAUAACGGCCGAUAGCACGGGGCGCUCUCCUCCGCCGCGUUGAUAGUCUCAAUCAGGCAGAGGCACUGUGGGUGGAACUCUUAUCGCACCAGGCUGACUCCCCAUGAAUGAGCAGAGGACUUGCGCGUUCUAGAAAUAGCAUGUGCAUUAGUAUUGCACGAUGAGGAACUUGGGCACGCUGCUUUCCCUCUUCUCUUUUUUUUUUUUUUCUCUUUUAAUAAAAGCUCAAAAUAAACUCCAACCCAGCAAGCGCAGCACACACAGCGGCGAGUCCAUGCAGGAUCACAAACAUAUGAGCACCAGGUGACUGAAAGAUUUCGUUAUAGGCUGCUCUAGGCAGGACCCAGAAUAAAAUGCUGAACUUGAGGAGAGUUUUUCCAGCGGUUACAGCAAGGUCUGAGAUCUCAGCCUGCCCCUGCUUGCACAGCACUGAGCACGACAGAGCCCUGAACCUUGACUGGACUUUUGGGGGAUGACAAUAAAAUGACCACACAAAGCACUCAGGAGGCAGACUUUCAGAUACCAAACCCCUCCUUUGAAGUCUACAGUUCUGCUUGUGCAUAGGCAGGCAGGGGAGGCACUAACUAUGCUAUAAACAAUGCCAGUAAAAUCUCACUUUUAAUCGAAUGUUUAAUUUCAGCCAAACCCCGGUGUUAGUUCUUACUGCUCCAGAAGUUAUAGCUAGCUUUUCACUUUGUAUCUUAUUAAUAUUUGUGUAUCUUUCUAUAAGUGUGUAACAUGCCCCUGACAGCUUGUAUCCUACGUUUCAAGCCAACAUAAUUUAAACUUUGUGCAUUUAGAACUUGACCUAUAAUGCAAAUCCAUACAGUCUUAAUUAUAGCAGCACCAGCAGCCACUGUGCAAGUGUAAUAGUCGAGCUUUCGUUACUAAAGAGGCACAGUAGUUAAGGUCUGUCAGUGUUCCUGUUACAAUCCCCAUCUUGAAGAGGUUAUAACUCGGGCUGUGUAAAUUUGAUUGAGCUGAAACUUGGGACUCAGACUGUCAGUCCAUAUAGGGAAUUAUCUUAUGAAUAAUUGGCUAACCCAUUGCUUGAUUCACAGACCUUUAUAAAAUGAUUUUUAAUGGGUUUUAAUGUUUUUUUCUUUUACUGACAUCUAGGGUAUGAAUUUGGUACUUCUAGCUCUUUUGAAGCUCCAUAUUGAGCAGCAUAUGUAUAGGUACAUACAUUAAAGCUCUGCAGCAACACACGGGGCAUGCAUGCCACACUUCCACAUCUAUGUGUACACAUAUACAGAUGAAGACACCGUGUGAGAGAAGUGCCACUUAAUCUAUGUCAGAAGAGAGUCCUAAACGUGUAAGAUAAAGAACAGAACUGCCUCCGAGAGAAGGGAACUAAAGCUCCUGAGAAGCGUUCCUCGGUCCUGUUGUGAUCCGCCGCUAGCGUAGCAGCAGUCAGGCGGAUUUACACCGGCAUGGUAUCACUGAACCAGCAAUCUGAAAUGCAGUCCUAGUGCGUUCCUGCACAGGGAGCGGGCCACCUCGGUUAUCUCCAGAUGCAGUGGGGAUAGCUGGGGACAGGUUGCUUUGUUAUCUUUGUUAACAGUUUCUUAGAAUCUUUCAUCUUUGGGGGCUUUUUCUUCCCCCAAAGCGUGUGGAAGUGAGUCCCACAUGUGCCUUGGCAUCAGAACAGUCGUCAUGAUUGCACUUUGAAAGGGAUGAGCCAUUUCACUUUGAACACUGAGCUUAAGUAUGGCUUUGUGUUACAAAGAAUUUUACUGAGAAUUGCUCUCCAGAAUGCUUCUCACUAGUUUUAAACUUCUGUUGCUUAGAGAAGGUUAUCACUUCAAAUCACACUCAGCUGGUGAGGCUGUGGACUUGGAAUUUUCCUUAACCCCAGCAGAAAAAGAUGGAAAGCCCAGAGCUAGAAAGAUGAGCCACAGACCUUGAACAGAUUGCUCUAAUGGACCCAGAUCCCACAAAGUCCAUGCCCACCUUGCUGAAUGGUUACAGAGCAGGGACACGGUCCUUGUAGUCAUUUCUGAGAUUCCAAGUCAUCCACUUACUUACGCAGGUUGCUGUCCUCAAGCUUAUGAGCCGUAAGGAGAACACAUCAUUGACACAAGUGUCUUUUGGAUUCAUUUUCUUUCUGACUAUAGCUGCUAGGUUUGGGGAGAUCCCUAGCUAGUCCAAGGUAAAGAAUUAUGGCCAAUUCGGGCCACCGGCGCAGAGCACCCGGCAUGGAUGUGGAAGGCUCCCAGCAAACUCCUGGUGAGGCUCACAGCAGGAAGAAGUGGCGAGUCUGGCUCUGCCCUGGGUCCUGACUUCUUGCAGCUUUCCAAAUGGACAGGAGUAACGGUGCCUGGUGUUGAGGCAUGCCAGAAAGAAGCUUGUCUCCUGGUUCCAGUUCGCUGUGAACCUGGUGCAUGAUGGGCACUGUCUGCGGGCACCACCGUUCUAUAUGUAUGUAUGUAUGUAUCUAAACAUUGCUCCCGCAAGUUAGCAGGACUGUUUAAAAGAGCAGUAUGUUCAACAAUGGCACAGUCGUGCCUCAUUGCCAAAUGUCUGUUAAUCAGAGAAGGCACGGGGAGCUCAGCAGAGCUGGUCUGAGCCUGACCAAAUGAACUAUGUGGGGCAUCUGAUCUUUUUACAUAGCCAUUGCUUAUGAACAAGAUUUUGUCAGGAUCAUUUGGAGAAGCUUUUCAUGCUUCUGUGAAAGAUCAGACCCGAGGGGCUCAAGCUCUCAUCAUCCCUAUGAGAAAAUCUGGAAAGCUCUACUCUGGAUGUGGCAGGCAGGAAGAAGUGGAAUUGCAAACAUUUUGUCUUGAAAAAUAAAUCCAACUAUACCUCAAUCGAAUCAAAUAAGAAUUGUAGAAUAAUAAAAAUAAUUCAUUAAGCUGAGGCACACAAUACAAGCAUCAGCAAUCAAAAAAAGUUAUUUCCAUUGAGAAAUUAGUUUUGCUACACAGGAUGAGGAAAGAUUUAGUCCCUUCGACUUCCCAGCACACUUGGCUUGAGUGACAACAGGGAAGGGUAGUGCAAUAGAAAAUGAUUUCCCUCCUCUAAUCCUGCUCGAUAUAUCCCCCUGCCAGAGGAAUCUGCUUGGUCUUGGGUACUGCAAAAUUCUUAAGCAUAUAUUUAUCUUUGGGCACAUCAGCUGUACUUCCAUGCCUAAAGUAAGCAUGUGGUCAAGUAUUUUGUUAGCCUGGCGCCUUACCAUCUUUUGGAAACAACUUUUAUUACGUUGAUUUUUAGAGCUUCAACUUUUAAUCACUAAGAGUGCGUUUAACUGAAAUUUAACAUAUAGAUUCAUCAUUCUCUGUAUUAAUUUUGUACUACUGUUUCAGAUGACAUUUAGUUUUAGCUUUUAGUUUCAGCAAAGAAGACAUGCACAUGCUUUGCAGAACAUGGUAUAGUUUGUGUGAGGAUCUAGAUGAAAAGAAAGAAUUAAUUGUUGAGAUAGCAGAGAUCUUCUGCAUUCAAAAUAAAAAUAAAAACAGCCAUACUGUGGGGAGUUUUUUCUUUGCCACAUUUAUCCCAUGCAACUCUUUAUGUGCAAGAUUUCAGCUUAAUUGUUAGAAUGCUUACAAUAAUAUUUUAAUGCAACUCUGUAGUCAGACUAAUAUAUUAUUACAUAGCUCAGAGCUGCACAGAAAGAUGCAGUGCUGAGGCGCAACAGGAGUGGUGGUGAAUAACAUAUGAUAAGAGCGCGCUUCUUUGAGCAGUUUGGAUAGUUUUGCCACCAUUUGUUAUUGUCAGCACAUAUAAUUUUUACAGUACGGUAUGAAUUCUGACUGCAGUGAGAAAAAUGCCUUCUACCGCCAGUAUGAAUAAGAUUUCACUCAAUUAGAAUAACAUGCAAGUGUAUCAUACAGCAUUACAUAGAAAGCUGAUAUGCAUUAAGUAUGAAUGCUGGGGCUGGGGGGGAGUUAUUGUACUAAUGCUAUUGUUCGGUGAGCAACUAUUCCCCAGCAGAUUAAAAAAAAAGCGAAGGAAAUUAAAUUCAGAAAUCAGAAAUAUGUACAAUGUUUGAUAUCACCUUACUGAAAUUAAUGUAUUCACCGCUGAAACUUUGCUGUGCCCCACCGCAUUAUGUCUCACAGCAUCUGUGUGCCCAGAGAGAGAGAAGCAGAGGUAAACACAGAGAGAGAUCCACAGACUAACGGUAAAUGCUGGCAGUUUCAUGGCACCAGUCUUCAAAUGCUGCUUCCCACUGGUGUCAGUAAGAAGUUUGGUCUGAAGAUGGCCGCAGAAGUGCGGUCCAUCGCCAUCAUGCACUCCCCGACACCCCAGUGGCGUGACGCACUGCAACCCCCUGCUCCUGGACACCCCAUGCGGUUCUGAGCAGCUCCACAGCACCUGAAGCAGCUGAAGGUAUCCAACGCGUGGGGAUGGAUGGGGAUGCAGCCACGACCGUUCCUGCAAGGAAGGCCAAAAGUGCCCGGGAGCCGAGGUGUAUCUCAGAGAGCCAUUGUACUCGGAGCCAAUAAAACUGAAACUAUUCUCAAUUGAGACCUAAUUAGCUUUUAUAUUCAAAGCUGUACUGCACAUUUGUACAUUGCUUAUGAGUGGGACUAAAAAAUAUAUGUACCAUGACACUAUACUUUUAAAGAGUCUGUUGAAUGCUUUUCCCAUUCUCCAAGGAUUGCCUCCUCCUUGGAUGUAUACAUUCAGUGAAUAUGAUGAGGCUAAUUAUUUUUCCCUGAAACGAUCGCUGCAUUUCUCUGGCAGUUUACACCAAAUCAUGGACCUCGCAUCUUCGGCCUUGGAACUUAAAAUAAAACCAACCCUGCGUUCCAAUCCUAAGACAAAAAACUGCUUGGUAAACAAGUUUCCUGCCCCAGGCUUUACAAGGAUCGCUCUUGUAUCAGAGUCACCAUGCACGUCUGAUCCUUUUUCUCCAUUUUUUCGAGGGGGUUAUAUAUUUUUCUGUUACCUUUCCUGCCUGUGAAGCAAUCAGAGAGAACGGCAGGAGGCACCAUAAAUAUGCAAAUUGCUGCCAGAUAACUGGUUUCGCUGGUUCCGCCUUGGGAAGCGGCAGCGCCGCAGGGGGGGUCCCUGGGGCCGGCCGCCCCCUGCGCCCCCAGGCCCACUGCAUUGCCCUCCCCACUGGCAGCAGCCGUGGAGGUGCUCGGUUGCCCGCGGUGUGGAGACCGCUCCUUUCGUCCCACUGCUGCACCAGCCCGUGGCUCACACUUGCACGUGGCCUUUCUGCGUGCAUGUCUUUCAUACUUUGCACUUCUACUCCAAGGGGGGUAGAGUCCCCUUCACGCACCCCCAGCACGCCCCUGGAAGCGCAAUGUCACUUUCCUCCACGGGCAGCUGGAGCCAUCGCUCGCCAAGACGCAGGCUGGCAGGACCAUGUCGUCCCUGCUGGGUGGCACUGGGCAAAACCCAGCAGUACUUGGGUGUGGAUCUGUGGCCUGAAACACAUGCUCAGGCCCCGUCCUUCCUAACUCAGCAUUUGAGAGAUUAAAAGCAACCGCUGGUUUCCAAAUUAAAAACAUGUUAAAAUGAAAGUUUAAUUCAUGGUUAAAUGCUUGCAAAAGUACAUGAGGCCAUUUUAAAAAUCACAGAGAGAAAACAUGAUCUUUUUUGGAUUUGGAGUUUGCUCUGUUCUUAAAUUCAAAACAGUGCUGCUCACUGCACUAACGUUUUGCAGGGCAUUCAUCAAGACCAUAGACUGGGCAUUGGGUAUUUGUGCAAACACCCAGGAGAGUGAGAAGGAAAACAUAAACCGCAGAAGAGUUACUACAGAUAUUAACUUUUAAGCCAGAAAAGCAAGACAGCUGAAAGAGCGAGUGGGGGAAUUGGCUCCAUCACUCCGCACCCGUCUCGGUUUCCUACAGCUGAAGCCUCUGGACGGCAGAUCGCAUCAGGACAAUGUUGGGCUCGCCACGCACCAGAGGACGACUUGGGCGAGGUGUUGCCACUCUGUCUCUGACGUCCCUUCUUUCUGUACCUUUAGGUCUCACAGGGAAGGAGAAUUAGUGUGGACGGAUGGGCACAGGCUGCAGACAGAUCCACCUCCAUGUGGGACAGAGUGGGUGGCAAUGGCCUUGUCCAUAGAGAAGGAAUCUGAACUGCAAACUAGUAACAGCAAUGGUUUGAUUGCUGGAAAAGGUUGACUGCUAGAAAAGGAAAACCAGUGCACCGCACAGCAGUUGGGAAUCGAAGCCCUUCUUUACCAGAACCCCUGCCACAUACGUACUGUCACUCACCUUCCAGACACUCAGUACAACCAUUCAAUCUAUUGAAUCAAGAGACUGUUUGAUCUUAUCUGCAUCUGUGAGCUGACUGUCAACCUGCUUAGGCUGCAUAUUAAAUCAUCUAUAGUAGCUGUAUCAAGCUGGGAUGAUCUGUUAAUUCUAAAUUUAUUAACCCUUGGAGUGCAGUCAUCGUGUUUAAUCUAGUGUAGCCAGCAUUUAUUUUACAAGACUAAAUCCUUCUUUAAGAUAUGGCUGUGCAGUAGGUUAAAGAAUCAUUAAUGUGUAGGAGAUGGUAAUUGGGAAGAGCUCACUUUGAUCUUUGGAAGCCAGCUGACAGCAUCGCUGCUCCAAACACGUAUGUGUGUGUGCUCGCGUCAUGCUCGCGUGUCCGGCAUGCGGGGUGUGUACAUGUGUACACGCCUGACCACAUUUCCUCACAGAAAGAGUUUUGCCUGAGCCAAGAAAGAAGAGAGGCCUCAAACAAUGCCUUAGCCCCACACCGCCACGAAGACUUCAAAUCGAAAAUCUACGUCACAGCGCAGCACCAUAGCGCAGGCUGGGAGACUGCAGGCAGGGUCUGGCCGUGAGCGAAGAGCAAACCUCUCCUCCGAGUCCGCUCCCGGUCUCAGUCCAUACCUGCCCUCCAAACCAACUGCCAUGCGUCCACAGAGCGCUGUGGGCUACGGCCACCGCAGGACUCGCAACAAGUCGAGUGCUGCUAUCCGCCUGCAUAUAAAUGUACCCCCUCCCAGACACAGAUACACACACAAGUAAAUUUAUAUAGAUAUAUACAUGCAGAUAAAUAUGUUAAUCUGUUCGUUAUACACACCCAGCCCUCCCUGCCUCUCUCCCCUGUUAUCUAUUCUACUUGCACGUUGCCGAUGGUAUCAACAUAUUCACAGCUUUUAUUUCAGUCACAAACUGCUAGGCAUGCUUCCUUUUUUGGUAAUCACGUGCCUGGUAUCUCUCUAAUGUAGCCUAAUAACAAUUUUAGCAUUCAGAUGAAGCGAUUUCAUUCUGUGACUGCCUUUUCUAUUAGAUUUGAUUCUGAGAAGCCCCAGUGGGUGCCUCCAAGGCAGAGAUCUAUCUGUGAGGCUGCAACCGAUUCAAUAGCAGCCUGAGCUAACCUUGACCUUUCCCUAGACCCUGCUCCAUCUGGUGCCAGGCUGGUCCCCCCCUUCUCCUCCUCCUUGCUUCACAGUCAGCAUUGAUCAAGGCGGAAUCGAGCGUCUCUCUCCCUCCAAGGGCUGGGCAGUCACGGGAAGGACAGCACAUUUCAAUAUAUGGAAAUGAUCAAGCCUCUUAUGCAAUCAUAAAUCUACACGGAGGCUGGUGAUUUGAUAUUUCAUCCACCUCCACAGAUUCUCCCCCUCCCUCCCCCCAGCAGGGAUUUAUAAACGAUAAGACAGCGGCUUUCCCCAACACCUGGAAAUUAUAAAGCUGGCUGUUUAUUGGGAAUGAAUGCCUGGCGAUUUGAUCUGAUUUACUUGGCGUUUCAUUUAUCUGCUUGCAACUCGUUCCGUUGUUUUCCCGCGUCCUUGGGUUACGCGUGCCCCCCCCUUUCUUUCUGCCGUUUCCCCCGUUCAGGUGGUGGGGGUGUUUUGGUGCUGCCGCGGGCAGGCACAGGGUGAGCUGGGCGGCUCGCUGCACACCCGAGCCCCGCUCCAUACCGGGCACCGAGUGCUGGGUCGCUGGGGCGCCUUUCGAUCUCCGGAAACGAGCAGAGGCUCCUGCGAUAAAUCAGCGCUCGCCACUUCGCCACUUCCCUAGUUCUGCUUCGUUUUCUUCCUCCCUUCCCGGCGCUCGGCUGCCGCUCCCCAUCUCCACCACCCCACCGCACCCCGAGUGGAAACGCUCCGUGCCCCCACACCCCCACGGGGCACAGGCCUGGCCCUGCAGCGCUCAGCUCCUUGCCUGUGCUGCUUGCGGAAUGCUGUUCUGUGCGCCUCUCUGUGCCCCUCCGCACUGCAGGGCUGACCUCUCUGGGCCCUGCUGUGGGCUGCCGGUGCCCCCGCAGUGACAUGGUGCUUGUGUGUGCUCCCACAGGUGUGUGACAACAGGCAGGUGGCCGGCACGUCCCUGCUCUCAUCUGGUGGCUCGCCAGGCUGGUCGCAGGAUUUACAAGCAGUGAUUUGAGUCAUUUUCCCAAGAAUUCCUAACAUUGCCACACUUGCUCAUCUCGUACCAGCCUUGAGAUUAUAUAACAGAUUAUGUAAAAUUAUAAUGACAAUAUAAUAUAUGCACACGCUAAUUAUUAUAUAUAGUUUCCUGCAUAUAUAU